GUACUAAGGUAGCACAAUAAAUUGCCUUAUAAUUGAAGGAUCGAAUGAAUGAAUCUACGACGUUUCUAAAACCUUUAAACAUAUAUAAUAAUAAAUUUAUCUUAAAGUAAAAAAGCUUUAAUAAAAAAAGAAGACGACAAGACCCUAACGAACUUAACUAUUAGUUUAACUGGGGUAGUAAAACAAUAAAAAUUUAAAUAAUUACAUAUAAUAUGAUCGAAUAAAAUUCAACAAAAAUCAAGUUACCGUAGGGAUAACAGCAUAAUUUUAUAUAAAAGUACUUAUUUAAUAUAAAAAUUAUGACCUCGAUGUUGAAUUAAUAAUCUAUAUAAAGAAACAUUUAUAUAAGAAGGUCUGUUCGACCUUUAAAAAAUUACAUGAU
rnacentral:rRNA from 1 species